GAUGAACGCUGGCGGCGUGCCUAAUACAUGCCAGUCGAGCGAACAGACGAGGAGCUUGCUCCUCUGACGUUAGCGGCGGACGGGUGAGUAACACGUGGAUAACCUACCUAUAAGACUGGGAUAACUUCGGGAAACCGGAGCUAAUACCGGAUAACAUGUUGAACCGCAUGGUUCAACAGUGAAAGACGGUCUUGCUGUCACUUAUAGAUGGAUCCGCGCCGCAUUAGCUAGUUGGUAAGGUAACGGCUUACCAAGGCAACGAUGCGUAGCCGACCUGAGAGGGGGAGAGGCCACACUGGAACUGAGACACGGUCCAGACUCCUACGGGAGGCAGCAGUAGGGAAUCUUCCGCAAUGGGCGAAAGACUGACGGAGCAACGCCGCGUGAGUGAAGAAGGUCUUCGGAUCGUAAAACUCUGUUAUUAGGGAAGAACAAAUGUGUAAGGAAAUAUGCACGUCUUGACGGUACCUAAUCAGAAAGCCACGGCUAACUACGUG
rnacentral:rRNA from 1 species